UGACUGGGGGUUUCUAACGAGUUGAAAGGUGCCUGAGUUGAGGGCAGGCGGGCGGUCGCCUUGCACGGGGUGUCCCUGCUUGGACACAGAGGUGGCCCCCAGCUGGCACUGACCUCCAAACGACCCUCGCCUUUACAGGCUCCAACUGCAGGAGUUGUAGAGGAGCAGAAGUCUUUCUGGGCCGGCACUUAUUGCUGCUGCGCUGGUGAUAAAACUUCAGACAGCCUAAUUGAUGGCUUUGCUGACCUAACGAUACCUUGUGAAAGCACAGAGUGGCAAAGCCUGGUCCUCAUUUAUGGCCAGCUGCAAGGAGAGCUGGAUCCCUAAGAUGGAAAGGGGAAAAGAAAGUCUCCCAGCCUGUGAACUUUAACCAGGAUCUGAGCCACUUAGAAGAAGUUAAAGAAACAAUUGUCUUUUAACACAAGUUUUCGGUCGCAUUUACUUGUUCAAAGCCUUCUGGCAAAUCCAGCUUUAAGCUGGCUAGUAAGAUAAGCGUGUUACCAGUUACAAUUUCUGAGCACUUAGAGGAAAAUCCUUUAAAGUGAAAUUAUACUCUUUUAAAAAAGCAACGUGAAGCAAAACACAUUUCCACAGCACGCUAAAAUCCUGUCACUUUUAAAGCAGAGGUGUUCUCAAAACAGAGAAGCAAGCUGAUGAAAGGACUUCUAUUCUUUGUAUUCUGUUGCAGGUUUAUUAAUGCCAGAAGAAGAAUAGUACAGCCUAUGAUUGACCAGUCAAAUCGAGCAGGCAAGUUCCAAGUAGUAUCUGUAUUCAAGUCCCACAGGCGCAAAUCCUCAUCAAGUUAUUCUUCAGGAGUCCCAUCACCUGGUAAAUAAAUGCUUCAACCAGGCAUUCUGGGAGAUUAUUUUUUUUCUUAUGUCCCCAGAAUUCCGCUGUAGGAAGCAACUUCGCUAAUUGGUGCUAAUUGGAGAUUUCCCACCCUGACUCUACUGAAACUGCUUUUUAUUUUCUCUCUGAAUUGGUAAUUGGGUACAAGUAGUAGUGCCACAAGCAGUUUGUUUGACUGUGAGCUCUUGAAUUACUCAUUGCUUGUCUGCAUCCAAUCAGCAGGACAAUCUCAUUUUCUUGCUACCCACAACUCCUUGGUGUAUGCAUUGCUUUUACUUCUGGAAGGCGAGCUGUAAAACUCAUUGUAUCCAUUCAUUUGCUUUGACUAUUCACAAUAUGCUACUAAUGUGACAUGGUACCAUACUGCCAGAAAAUAUUAAAAGAUUAUUACUUUUGUUUAAGAAUGCACCAGAUAUGCUCCCAGUGAAACAUAUGAUUUUUAUAACAAUACCUUUUCUACAUUUCUAUUAAAGCAUUUAGAAUAUGCAGCACUUUACAACAACAACAACUGGUACCAUGUUAAUCAUUCCACUUUCUAAUAUGCAUUUCCUCAGCAUACUAGGGAGUUGUGGUUUCCUAACAUGAGGUUAUGGGAUAAAACUGUUCUCCAUGUGGUGAUGACUGUUGUCACUAACAAGGGCUUUAACUUGAUGGUGAUUUCGCCUGCUGCUUCACUUUAAAGGUUUUUAUAAAGGUCAUUAAACCUUUGGGAAACUCUUCCCAUGUAGCAUUAAAUUUCUUUUUCAUUAACAGGUAAAAAGGGGGAAAACACUAACUCAACUAACCAUGCAAAACAUUAAGCCAAAUACAGUGUGUACAUAAAUAGGAAAAGCCACCACCAGAAUUUCCCAACUCAUUCUAGAGUAGGUGAGAGUAGUUUUAUAAGUUUUAUUAAGUUUCAUCGUAAAUACCCUAUGUCGCAAAUGCCAGAUUCACAACUUUGUGUAAUUAGAGAGGAACAGAAUAGGUACUUACUUCGUUAAGAAAAAACACAUAGCACUUCAACGGGCUUCCACUGUUUUGCAUUAAAGGUAAGUAGAGAAACAGAUCCUAAGCAAGUGAACUGACUUGACAAACUUGUUUAUUGGGCCCCCUAUAGCAUUUUUAUUCUAUAGUCCUGGUAACAUAAUCAGCUCAUAAAAAGCACAACCUGAGUUUAAAGUGACAGCCAAGAUAUUGUAUAUAGCGUUUCAGUGCUGAAGCUGGAACAAUUGCUGAUUGUUUGGUAUGUCUUCUCUUCUUUCUCCUCUGUGUCCACGAUUGACUACAAUCAGGUUUUCUUCUUGAUCCUUCAGUGAGCCAAGGAGCAGCAUAUAGUCCAGAGGGUCAGCCGAUGGGAAGCUUUGUGUUGGAUGGUCAGCAGCACAUGGGAAUCCGGCCUGCAGGACCUAUGAGUGGAAUGGGCAUGAAUAUGGGCAUGGAUGGGCAAUGGCACUACAUGUAACCUUCAUCUUGUAAACCAGUCGCAAAGCAAGGGGGAAGUUUGCAAGGCAUGCCAGGGGACUACGUAUCUCAGGGUGGUCCUAUGGGUAUGAGUAUGGCACAGCCAAGUUACACUCCUCCCCAGAUGACCCCACACCCAACUCAGUUAAGACAUGGACCCCCAAUCCAUUCAUAUUUGCCAAGUCACCCCCACCACCCAGCCAUGAUGAUGCACGGAGGACCCCCUAUCCACCCUGGAAUGACCAUGUCAGCACAGAGCCCCACAGUAUUAAAUUCUGUAGACCCCAGUGUUGGUGGACAGGUUAUGGACAUUCAUGCCCAAUAGUAUAAGGGAACUCAAGGGAAAAACAAAACAAAAACAAACAGAAACUAUUUUAAGACUUUUGAACUUUGACCAGAUGUUGACACUUAAUACGAAAUUCCAGACAGCUGUGAUUAUUUUUUACUUUUUGUCAUUUUUCAUCAACAACAGAGGACCAAUGAAACAAGAACACAAAUGUGAAAUCAUGGGCUCACUGAAAUGAAUAUGUCCAUGUACAGAUCCUCUGGAAAAAAAAGACUCCAAGAGUUAUAACUACUGUAGUAUAAACAUAGGAACUAAGUUAACUUGUACAUUUCUGUUGAUCACUCCGUUACGUUGCCUCAAAUAGUUUUAGAAGAAAAAAAAAAAUCCUUGUUUUCCACACUAUGUGUGUUGUUCCCAAAAGAAUGACUGUUUUGGUUCAGCAGUGAAGUCACUAUCCAUGAAAGACCUGUUUUGGCCAGUGAGAAAAGAACUACCCUGGAGAUGAAGAUGAAAAGUCUUGCUGGGUCUCUCAUCACUCAGAAGACUGUUCCAAGAAGGCCUUGCCAUUCCCUCAUUUUGUUCCUUCAUAAAAUGUGUCCUUUAGUUUCAAACAGAUCUUUAUAGUUUGUGCUUCAUUAAGUCUCUCCCCAUUCCUCCCAAUCUUUUUUUUUUUUUUUUUGGACUCUUCUUCAAAGAGCUUGCAGGUGAAGAUUUAAAAGACAGAACAGACAGAGCAGAAGCUUCUUCCAGUAGUUCUGAGCCUUGGCUUUGGACAAAACAAAACUAAAUGUUGGGCAGCUUUCCUCAAUGAAAGAAGUUACUAACGGUCUUUGCACCAAACCUAGGACUUUAUCAUGAACUCAAAGCUUGGGAAAAAAAAAAAAAGCAAGAGAAUACUGUAACAAACUUCGUACAGAGUUCGGUCUAUUAAUUGUUUCAUGUUAGAUAUUCUAUGUGUUUACCUCAAUUGAAAAAAAAAAGAAUGUUUUUGCUAGUAUCAGAUCUGCUGUGGAAUUGGUAUUGUAUGUCCAUGAAUUCUUCCUUUCUCAGCACGUGUUCCUCACUAGAAGAAAAUGCUGUUACCUUUAAGCUUUGUCAAAAUUUACAUUAAAAUACUUGUAUGAGGACUGUGACGUUAUGUUUUAAAAAGAAAAAAAAGGUGUUAAGUCACAAAAUGCGGUAAUAAAUAUUUCAUUUUUGA